rnacentral:rRNA from 1 species
CGACCGGCGCACGGGUGCGUAACGCGUAUGCAACCUACCUUUAACAGGGGGAUAACACUGAGAAAUUGGUACUAAUACCCCAUAAUAUCAUAGAAGGCAUCUUUUAUGUUUGGAAAUUCCGAUGGUUAGAGAUGGGCAUGCGUUGUAUUAGCUAGUUGGUGGGGUAACGGCUCACCAAGGCGACGAUACAUAGGGGGACUGAGAGGUUAACCCCCCACACUGGUACUGAGACACGGACCAG